GAUGAACGCUGGCGGCGCGCCUAACACAUGCAAGUCGAACGGAAAUAUGGGGCUUGCUCCAUAUUUUAGUGGCGAACGGGUGAGUAACGCGUGAGCAAUCCGGCUCUCGGCGGGGGACAACGGAGGGAAACUUUCGCUAAUACCGCGUAACAUUUCUUUACCGCAUGGUGAGGAAAUCAAAGAUUUAUCACCGAGAGAUGAGCUCGCGUCCGAUUAGGCAGUUGGCGGGGUAACGGCCCACCAAACCGACGAUCGGUAGCCGGACUGAGAGGUUGAACGGCCACAUUGGGACUGAGAUACGGCCCAGACUCCUACGGGAGGCAGCAGUGGGGGAUAUUGCACAAUGGAGGAAACUCUGAUGCAGCGACGCCGCGUGAGGGAAGAAGGUUUUCGGAUUGUAAACCUCUGUCAGCGGGGAAGAAAAUGACGGUACCCGCGAAGGAAGCCACGGCUAACUACGUGCCAGCAGCCGCGGUAAUACGUAGGUGGCAAGCGUUAUCCGGAAUUACUGGGUGUAAAGGGAGUGUAGGCGGGGUAACAAGUCAGAAGUGAAAUGUCGGGGCUCAACCCCGGAACUGCUUUUGAAACUGUUACUCUUGAGUAAAGCAGGGGCAAGCGGAAUUCCCGGUGUAGCGGUGGAAUGCGUAGAUAUCGGGAGGAAUACCGGUGGCGAAAGCGGCUUGCUGGGCUUUUACUGACGCUGAGGCUCGAAAGCGUGGGGAGCAAACAGGAUUAGAUACCCUGGUAGUCCACGCUGUAAACGAUGAUUACUAGGUGUGGGGAGGUAACCCCUUUCCGUGCCGAAGCAAACGCGAUAAGUAAUCCACCUGGGGAGUACGACCGCAAGGUUGAAACUCAAAGGAAUUGACGGGGGCCCGCACAAGCAGUGGAGUAUGUGGUUUAAUUCGAAGCAACGCGAAGAACCUUACCGGGGCUUGACAUGGCACUGAAUAAGCAAGAGAUUGCUUAGUCCUUUCGGGGACAGUGUCACAGGUGGUGCAUGGUUGUCGUCAGCUCGUGUCGUGAGAUGUUGGGUUAAGUCCCGCAACGAGCGCAACCCUUAUCCUUAGUUGCUACAUUUAGUUGAGAACUCUAAGGAGACUGCCGUUGACAAAACGGAGGAAGGUGGGGAUGAGGUCAAAUCAUCAUGCCCUUUAUGUCCCGGGCUACACACGUACUACAAUGGCGUUUAACAAACCGAAGCAAGACCGCGAGGUGGAGCGAACCGGAAAAAAACGUCCCAGUUCAGAUUGCAGGCUGCAACUCGCCUGUAUGAAGUUGGAAUUGCUAGUAAUCGUAGGUCAGCAUACUACGGUGAAUACGUUCCCGGGCCUUGUACACACCGCCCGUCAAACCAUGAGAGUCGGCAACACCCGAAGCCGUUAGCCUAACCGUAAGGAGGGCGACGUCGAAGGUGGGGUUGGUGAUUAGGGU
rnacentral:rRNA from 1 species